rnacentral:rRNA from 1 species
CUCAUAAUGAGGCUCCGCAAUUGGAAUGAGUACAAUUUAAAUCCUUUAACGAGGAUCGAUUGGAGGGCAAGUCUGGUGCAGCAGCCGCGGUAAUUCCAGCUCCAAUAGCGUAUAUUAAUGUUGUUGCAGUUAAAAAGCUCGUAGUUGGAUCUCAGGUUUGGUAUGUCGGUCUGGUCUUUUGUACUAUGACUGUGCAUAUCAGCCUUUAUUAGCUGUCUGUCGCUCUAUGGUGUUCUUAACCGAAUGCUAUAUGGGUGCUCAGCACGUUUACCUUGAAAAAAUCAGAGUGCUUAAAGCAGGCCUUUGUGCUUGUAUGUUUGUGCAUGGAAUAAUGGAAUAGGACUUCGGUUCUAUUUUGUUGGUUUCAGGUACUGAAGUAAUGAAAAAUAGAGACAGACGGGGCCAUUUGUAUGGCGGCGGGAGAGGUGAAAUUCUGAGAUCGUCGCCAGACAAACUACUGCGAAAGCAUUUGGCAAGUAUGUCUUCAUUAAUCAAGAACGAAAGUCAGAGGUUCGAAGACGAUCAGAUACCGUCCUAGUUCUGACCAUAAACGAUGCCGACCGGUAAUCAGGAGCAGGUAUUGUAAUUAUUGCCUCUCCUGGUUGCCCCUGGGAAACCUCAUAGUUAGGUUCUGGGGGGAGUAUGGUCUCAAGGCCGAAACUUAAAGGAAUUGACGGAAGGGCACCACCAGGAGUGGAGCCUGCGGCUUAAUUUGACCCAACACGGGAAAUCUCACCCGGUCCGGACACUGAGAGGAUUGACAGAUUGAUAGCUCUUUCAUGAUUCAGUGAGUGGUGGUGCAUGGCCGUUCUUAGUUGGUGGAGUGAUUUGUUUGGUUAAUUCCUAUAACGAACGAGACUCUAGCCUGCUAAAUAGUUCAAUGGCAUCGGUGAUUUCCUUUAUUGGGGUCACUACAGCUAUUGCUAACUUCUUAGAGGAAUUCGCGGAAAAAUAAACCGCACGAGAAAGAGCAAUAACAGGUCUGUGAUGCCCUUAGAUGUCCGGGGGCCGCACGCGCGCUACAUUGACAGUAACAAAAAGUAUUUCUACCUUGUCCGUAAGGACUGGGAAAUCUUUGAAUUACUGUCUCCACAGGGAUUGGGGUUUGUAAUUAUCCCCCAUGAACGAGGAAUUCCUAGUAAUCGCAAGUCAUCAGCUUGUGAUGAUUACGUCCCUGCCCUUUGUACACACCGCCCGUCGCUACUACCGAUCGAAUGGAUUAGUGAGGACCUCGGAUUGCAGUUUUACGGCGCAAGUCGUUUAAUUUGCGAGAAGUGGUUCAAACUUGUUCAUUUAGAGGAAGUAAAAGUC